GAUGAACGCUAGCGGAAGGCAUAAUACAUGCAAGUCGAACGGAUGUAGCAAUACAUUAGUGGCGCACGGGUGCGUAACGCGUAUGCAACCUACCUUCAUCAGGGGGAUAACUACUCGAAAGGGUGGCUAACACCGCAUAAUACUACUGAAUGGCAUCAUUUGGUAUUUAAAUCUGAGGAGGAUGAAGAUGGGCAUGCGUCUGAUUAGCUAGUUGGUGUGGUAACGGCGCACCAAGGCGACGAUCAGUAGGGGAACUGAGAGGCUGGUCCCCCACACUGGCACUGAGAUACGGGCCAGACUCCUACGGGAGGCAGCAGUAGGGAAUAUUGGUCAAUGGUGGGAACACUGAACCAGCCAUUCCGCGUGCAGGAAGAAGGGUCUCUGACUUGUAAACUGCUUUAGCAAGGGAAGAAAAAGCUCAUGCGUGAGAAAUUGACGGUACCUUGAGAAUAAGCACCGGCUAACUACGUGCCAGCCGCCGCAGUAAUAC
rnacentral:rRNA from 1 species